rnacentral:rRNA from 1 species
UACGUAGGGUGCGAGCGUUGUCCGGAAUUACUGGGCGUAAAGAGCUCGUAGGUGGUUUGUCGCGUUGUUCGUGAAAUCUCACGGCUUAACUGUGAGCGUGCGGGCGAUACGGGCAGACUGGAGUACUGCAGGGGAGACUGGAAUUCCUGGUGUAGCGGUGAAAUGCGCAGAUAUCAGGAGGAACACCGAUGGCGAAGGCAGGUCUCUGGGCAUUAACUGACGCUGAGGAGCGAAAGCAUGGGGGAGCGAACAGG